GUGCUCACUUCAGAAGCACAUAUUCUUAAAACUCGAAUGAUACAGAGAAGAUUAGCAUGGUCCCUGUGCAAGGAAAAAUUACUUCUUUAACCCAAAGUACUUAGUAUUUUU